rnacentral:rRNA from 1 species
AUUGAACGCUGGCGGCAUGCUUUACACAUGCAAGUCGAACGGCAGCAUAGGUGCUUGCACCUGAUGGCGAGUGGCGAACGGGUGAGUAAUAUAUCGGAACAUGUCCGGAAGUGGGGGAUAACGUAGCGAAAGUUACGCUAAUACCGCAUAUGCCCUGAGGGGGAAAGGGGGGGAUCGUAAGACCUCUCGCUUUCGGAGUGGCCGAUAUCGGAUUAGCUAGUAGGUGAGGGAAAGGCUCACCUAGGCGACGAUCCGCAGCUGGUCUGAGAGGACGACCAGCCACACUGGGACUGAGAGACGGCCCAGACCCCUACGGGAGGCAGCAGUGGGUAAUUUGGGGCAAUGGGCGCAAGCCUGAACCAGCCAGGCCGCGUGAGUGAAGAAGGCCUUCGGGUUGUAACGCUCUUUCAGCUGGAAAGAAAUCGUAUCUAUUAAUACUAGGUGCGGAUGACGGUACCAGCAGAAGAAGCACCGGCUAACUACGUGCCAGCCGCCGCGGUAAUAC